rnacentral:tRNA from 1 species
CGAGAUAGCUCAGCUGGUAGAGCAACCGCUUCGUAAGCGGUAGGUCGUGGGUUCGAAUCCCAUUCUCGG